AUUGAACGCUGGCGGCGUGCCUAACACAUGCAAGUCGAGCGGUAACAGGUGUAGCAAUACAUGCUGACGAGCGGCGGACGGGUGAGUAACGCUUGGGAAUCUGCCUGUUAGUGGGGGACAACCCGGGGAAACGUCGGGCUAAUACCGCAUACGCACUACGGUGGAAGCCGGGACCGCAAGGCCUGGCGCUAACAGAUGAGCCCAAGUCGGAUUAGCUAGUUGGUAGGGAACGGCCUACCAAGGCGACGAUCCGUAACUGGUCUGAGAGGACGACCAGUCACACCGGAACUGAGACACGGUCCGGACUCCUACGGGAGGCAGCAGUGGGGAA
rnacentral:rRNA from 1 species